CCUACGGGGGGCAGCAGUGGGGAAUAUUGGACAAUGGGGGGAACCCUGAUCCAGCCAUACCGCGUGUGUGAAGAAGGCCCUCGGGUUGUAAAGCACUUUCAGUGAGGAAGAACGCCUGGUGGUUAAUACCCAUCAGGAAAGACAUCACUCACAGAAGAAGCACCGGCUAACUCCGUGCCAGCAGCCGCGGUAAUACGGAGGGUGCGAGCGUUAAUCGGAAUUACUGGGCGUAAAGCGCGCGUAGGUGGCUUGAUAAGCCGGUUGUGAAAGCCCCGGGCUCAACCUGGGAACGGCAUCCGGAACUGUCAAGCUAGAGUGCAGGAGAGGAAGGUAGAAUUCCCGGUGUAGCGGUGAAAUGCGUAGAGAUCGGGAGGAAUACCAGUGGCGAAGGCGGCCUUCUGGACUGACACUGACACUGAGGUGCGAAAGCGUGGGUAGCAAACAGGAUUAGAUACCCUUGUAGUC
rnacentral:rRNA from 1 species